rnacentral:tRNA from 1 species
GCCGCCGUAGCUCAGCCCGGUGGAGCGCCGGCCUUGUAAGCCGGUGGUCGCGGGUUCAAGUCCCGCCGGCGGCU